AGCGAACGCUGGCGGCAGGCCUAACACAUGCAAGUCGAACGAACUCUUCGGAGUUAGUGGCGGACGGGUGAGUACCACGUGGGAACGUGCCUUUUGGUUCGGUAUCACUCAGGGCAACUUGUGCUAAUACCGCAUGUGCCCUUCGGGGGUAAGAUUUCUCGCCAUUAGAGCGGGCCGCGUCGGUUUUGCUAGUUGGUGUGGUAACGGCUCACAAAGGCGACGUGCAGUAGCUGGUCUGUGCGGAUGACCAGCCCGACUGGGACAGGGACAGGGCCCACACGCGAACGGGAGGCAGCAGUGGGGAAUCUUGCGCAAUGGGCGAAAGCCUGACGCAGCCAUGCCGCGUGAAUGGUGAAGGUCUUAGGAUUGUAAAAUUCUUUCACCGGGGACGAUAAUGACGGUACCCGGAGAAGAAGCCCCGGCUAACUUCGUG
rnacentral:rRNA from 1 species